CCCUGGUAGUCCAUGCCGUAAACGUUGGGCACUAGGUGUGGGGGACAUUCCACGUUUUCCGCGCCGUAGCUAACGCAUUAAGUGCCCCGCCUGGGGAGUACGGCCGCAAGGCUAAAACUCAAAGGAAUUGACGGGGGCCCGCACAAGCGGCGGAGCAUGCGGAUUAAUUCGAUGCAACGCGAAGAACCUUACCAAGGCUUGACAUGAACCGGAAAGACCUGGAAACAGGUCCCCCACUUGUGGUCGGUUUACAGGUGGUGCAUGGUUGUCGUCAGCUCGUGUCGUGAGAUGUUGGGUUAAGUCCCGCAACGAGCGCAACCCUCGUUCUAUGUUGCCAGCACGUGAUGG
rnacentral:rRNA from 1 species